rnacentral:rRNA from 1 species
CACAUGCAGCCGAGCGGUAGAGUUCCUUCGGGAACUUGAGAGCGGCGUACGGGUGCGUAACACGUGUGCAACCUACCUUUAUCUGGGGGAUAGCCUUUCGAAAGGAAGAUUAAUACCCCAUAAUAUAUUGAAUGGCAUCAUUUAAUAUUGAAAACUCCGGUGGAUAGAGAUGGGCACGCGCAAGAUUAGAUAGUUGGUGGGGUAACGGCUCACCAAGUCUGUGAUCUUUAGGGGUCCUGAGAGGGAGAUCCCCCACACUGGUACUGAGACACGGACCAGACUCCUACGGGAGGCAGCAGUGAGGAAUAUUGGACAAUGGGUGAGAGCCUGAUCCAGCCAUCCCGCGUGAAGGAUGACGGUCCUAUGGAUUGUAAACUUCUUUUGUACAGGAAUAAACCUAUUUACGUGUAAAUAGCUGAAGGUACUGUACGAAUAAGCACCGGCUAACUCCGUGCCAGCAGCCGCGGUAAUACGGAGGGUGCAAGCGUUAUCCGGAUUUAUUGGGUUUAAAGGGUCCGUAGGCGGGCCUGUAAGUCAGUGGUGAAAUCUCACAGCUU